GCCAAAAUUGUAUCAGGGGGCAUAAAAAAAGAAAACAAAAAAGGCCACACAGGGCCACGACACAAUGUUUUAGCACUCUUUUCAGCUCACUCAGUUGCCCCAUAAGCUAAUACUCGUUGUAAACAAGUUAUAAGGUGGGCCAGAGCGAGCAUCAAAAUGUAUUAACACUCUGCUCCCUCAUGAAAACUUUGGCCUUUAACACGACUCUGUAUAGCUUCUGUUAGACGAAAAAAAAAA
rnacentral:lncRNA from 1 species